UGCGGAGUAGCUCAAGUGGACAAGAGCGUUGGUCUCAUAAACCAAAGGCUGCGGGUUCAACUCCCGCCUCCGCAA
rnacentral:tRNA from 1 species